rnacentral:rRNA from 1 species
UUGGACCUCAAAUCAGGGGGACUACCCGCUGAA